rnacentral:rRNA from 1 species
CCUACGGGUGGCAGCAGUGAGGAAUAUUGGUCAAUGGACGAGAGUCUGAACCAGCCAAGUAGCGUGAAGGAUGACUGCCCUAUGGGUUGUAAACUUCUUUUAUAUGGGAAUAAAAUGUUCCACGUGUGGGAUUUUGUAUGUACCAUAUGAAUAAGGAUCGGCUAACUCCGUGCCAGCAGCCGCGGUAAUACGGAGGAUCCGAGCGUUAUCCGGAUUUAUUGGGUUUAAAGGGAGCGUAGGUGGAUUGUUAAGUCAGUUGUGAAAGUUUGCGGCUCAACCGUAAAAUUGCAGUUGAAACUGGCAGUCUUGAGUACAGUAGAGGUGAGCGGGAUUCGUGGUGUAGCGGUGAAAUGCGUAGAUAUCACGAAGAACUCCGAUUGCGAAGGCAGUUCACUGGACUGCAACUGACACUGAGGCUCGAAAGUGUGGGUAUCAAACAGGAUUAGAUACCCCAGUAGUC